GGUAAAAACAAGGGGAGCUUAUUUGAUAGGCUGAGAGGAAGUUAAGAACUUCGACCCAUAACCUGAUUUGGAUAAUGCCAACGUAGGGACAGACGUAUGAAAUGUUG
rfam:Firmicutes bacterium CAG:227 genomic scaffold, scf95